AUUACUCCUACGGGAGGCAGCAGUAAGGAAUAUUGGUCAAUGGGGGCAACCCUGAACCAGCCAUGCCGCGUGCAGGACGACUGCCCUAUGGGUUGUAAACUGCUUUUGUUAGGGAAUAAACCCCGCUACGUGUAGCGGGCUGAAUGUACCUAAAGAAUAAGGAUCGGCUAACUCCGUGCCAGCAGCCGCGGUAAUAAU
rnacentral:rRNA from 1 species